rnacentral:sRNA from 1 species
GUAGAGGAAGCCAAGAUCCUUCGGCUCAGUGGAAAACCACAAAAUGCGCCAGAGGGUAAGACCCGAAGUUCCUGGUUCCUGGAGGGAGGUGUCAGUUCAUCUCCAGGGCUGAGCACAGAUAUCUGUCUCCUCUUCCUAUCUAAGAUUGAGGGCAAGGGAGGUGUUGAUUUUCCCAGCGUCUAGACUCACUCCGUUGCCACAGGUUACCAGAACAGACUGAAAGUACUCUACAGCCAAAAGGCCACUCCUGGCUCCAGCCGGAAGACCUGCCGUUACAUUCCUUCCCUGCCAGACCGUAUCCUGGAUGCGCCUGAAAUCCGAAAUGACUAUUACCUGAACCUUGUGGAUUGGAGUUCUGGGAAUGUACUGGCCGUGGCACUGGACAACAGUGUGUACCUGUGGAGUGCAAGCUCUGGUGACAUCCUGCAGCUUUUGCAAAUGGAGCAGCCUGGGGAAUAUAUAUCCUCUGUGGCCUGGAUCAAAGAGGGCAACUACUUGGCUGUGGGCACCAGCAGUGCUGAGGUGCAGCUAUGGGAUGUGCAGCAGCAGAAACGGCUUCGAAAUAUGACCAGUCACUCUGCCCGAGUGGGCUCCCUAAGCUGGAACAGCUAUAUCCUGUCCAGUGGUUCACGUUCUGGCCACAUCCACCACCAUGAUGUUCGGGUAGCAGAACACCAUGUGGCCACACUGAGUGGCCACAGCCAGGAAGUGUGUGGGCUGCGCUGGGCCCCAGAUGGACGACAUUUGGCCAGUGG